GAACAUAGUGAUGGAGACACCAUGAUCAAGGGUGGUUCACCCAGGGCGAGGCUCAGCCGUUGCACAACGGUUGUGCUGACCCAUUUGAAUUCCUUAAAUGUGGGAGUCUCGACUGCAUAAUUUGUGGUAGUGGGGGGGCUGCGUUUGUGCUCUCCCCUA